AUCUGCCCUUCACUCUGGGACAAGCCCUGGAAACGGGGUCUAAUACCGGAUAACACCUUCUCCCUCCUGGGAGGGGGUUAAAAGCUCCGGCGGUGAAGGAUGAGCCCGCGGCCUAUCAGCUAGUUGGUGGGGUAAUGGCCUACCAAGGCGACGACGGGUAGCCGGCCUGAGAGGGCGACCGGCCACACUGGGACUGAGACACGGCCCAGACUCCUACGGGAGGCAGCAGUGGGGAAUAUUGCACAAUGGGCGAAAGCCUGAUGCAGCGACGCCGCGUGAGGGAUGACGGCCUUCGGGUUGUAAACCUCUUUCAGCAGGGAAGAAGCGAAAGUGACGGUACCUGCGGAAGAAGCGCCGGCUAACUACGUGCCAGCAGCCGCGGUAAUACGUAGGGCGCAAGCGUUGUCCGGAAUUAUUGGGCGUAAAAGAGCUCGUAGGCGGCUUGUCACGUCGGGUGUGAAAGCCCGGGGGCUAACCCCCGGUCUGCAUUCGAUACGGGG
rnacentral:rRNA from 1 species